rnacentral:rRNA from 1 species
UACGUAGGGCGCAAGCGUUGUCCGGAAUUAUUGGGCGUAAAGAGCUCGUAGGCGGCUUGUCACGUCGAUUGUGAAAGCCCGAGGCUUAACCUCGGGUCUGCAGUCGAUACGGGCUGGCUAGAGUGUGGUAGGGGAGAUCGGAAUUCCUGGUGUAGCGGUGAAAUGCGCAGAUAUCAGGAGGAACACCGGUGGCGAAGGCGGAUCUCUGGGCCAUUACUGACGCUGAGGAGCGAAAGCGUGGGGAGCGAACAGG